rnacentral:rRNA from 1 species
ACUUUUCAGCUAGAGUAUGAUAGAGGAAAGCAGAAUUUCUAGUGUAGAGGUGAAAUUCGUAGAUAUUAGAAAGAAUACCAAUUGCGAAGGCAGCUUUCUGGAUCAUUACUGACACUGAGGAACGAAAGCAUGGGUAGCGAAGAGGAUUAGAUACCCUCGUAGUCCAUGCCGUAAACGAUGUGUGUUAGACGUUGGAAAUUUAUUUUCAGUGUCGCAGCGAAAGCGAUAAACACACCGCCUGGGGAGUACGACCGCAAGGUUAAAACUCAAAUGAAUUGACGGGGACCCGCACAAGUAGUGGAGCAUGUGGUUUAAUUCGAAGAUACGCGCAGAACCUUACCAACACUUGACAUGUUCGUCGCGACUCUAAGAGAUUAGAGUUUUCGGUUCGGCCGGACGAAACACAGGUGCUGCAUGGCUGUCGUCAGCUCGUGUCGUGAGAUGUUGGGUUAAGUCCCGCAACGAGCGCAACCCUCACUUUUAGUUGCCAUCAUUAAGUUGGGCACUCUGAAAGAACUGCCAGUGAUAAGCUGGAGGAAGGUGGGGAUGACGUCAAGUCCUCAUGGCCCUUACGUGUUGGGCUACACACGUGCUACAAUGGUAUCUACAACAGGAAGCAAGACUGCGAGGGUCAAGCAAAUCCUUAAAAGAUACCUCAGUUCGGGAUUGCACUCUGCAACUCGAGUGCAUGAAGCUGGAAUUUACUAGUAAUCGUGGGAUCAGCGUGC